GCUACAAAGUGAGCUCAAGGCCAGCCUGAACUGCAUAGCGAGACCCUGUCUCAAAAAGACCAAAGCGGGGGUAAAAGGACCUCCUUAGCUUUUCCUUCUACCUACAAAUCUGUCUGUCAGUAUCUGGAUCCGUGCGCACUUAUUUUCUUCCACCACCAAGGGAAAACUGUCUCUUAAUUAAAGCUUGGCUCUAUACUCAUAUUGUACACGUGGUUUUUGGAGGAUCUGUAGACCAUCAGCAUAGAAAGCAACUUAGAAACUGAUGCAGAACUGCUAAAUUUUUAAUCCUAACAAAAGAACUACAUAUUUGUAAAGUCCUCUUAUCUCUUAUCAGCAUGAUUCCCUAAUAGAAGUGCAUCUUCAACACCAAAGACUAAACUUGAAAACUUUUUAUUUGCUUUCCCUGUGGAGAACUGAAGCCGUCACAGCCCUUGUGCAUUUCAGACCUCUUCUCAGAACUUAUCCCCUGAGAACUCUGCUCUGCUGGGAUUGCAGGCGUGCGCCACCACACCUGGCUGUCUACUCACCCUUAAACUUGCUGCGCUUUGGUUGAUGUCACGACUACACCACUGAAACUGUUCCUGGAAAGGGUCAUUAGUGACCUCGCAUCUGUCAAGUACAGCGCGCUCUUUACCGUCCUUCACAAACAGUUGUCUUCUGUUGAGUGCCUACUGUGUGCAGGCUGUAUGCUAAGCACUGAUGCACCAUUUCACAACCCCCCCAUGUGUCACCCGUGUGAUGUGGAAGGCAAGGACUGAAACAUACCACCCAUCCUAGGAAUGAACCCUGCUUGAAACUAUUCAAGGAGACUGAAAUGACCAGGCAGCAGCUGGGAGCUGCAAACUUCCAGUGUCCCCUGACAGGAGCAUUUUCCCUCAUUGUCUUGGAUUGACAACUGGUGGUCAACUUGUGACACCAGCUGAACUUAACCAGCGUGGUGCCUGGUGUGGGAGCCCAC